rnacentral:tRNA from 1 species
ACUUCAGUGUUGUAGUGGUUAGCGCGGUGGACUUCGGAUCCGAAGGCUCUUGGUUCGAGUCCAAGUAAAGUA